rnacentral:rRNA from 1 species
AGAGUUUGAUCAUAGCUCAGGAUGAACGCUAGCUACAGGCUUAACACAUGCAAGUCGAGGGGAAACGACAUCGAAAGCUUGCUUUUGAUGGGCGUCGACCGGCGCACGGGUGAGUAACGCGUAUCCAACCUGCCCACCACUUGGGGAUAACCUUGCGAAAGUAGGACUAAUACCCAAUGAUAUCUCUAGAAGACAUCUGAAAGAGAUUAAAGAUUUAUCGGUGAUGGAUGGGGAUGCGUCUGAUUAGCUUGUUGGCGGGGUAACGGCCCACAAGGCUACGAUCAGUAGGGGUUCUGAGAGGAAGGUCCCCCACAUUGGAACUGAGACACGGUCCAAACUCCUACGGGAGGCA